AGAAAACCCUUCGCUUCUAGGGUUUCAAGCACUUCUCGACAUAAAAAAGAGGUCACCGUUCAUCGGCGAUGAUGGCCUCGGUCACUAGCGGAGUCGGAAGAUCGACCAUUAGUGAUGUCAGACAAAACGUGGAGUGAUGGCUGGCGUGCGUGGGAGGAACGACAGCUAAAGGCAUGUGGUAGGGUAUUUUGUUUUCUGAACAUGUUAUGGGUUAGUAGGCUAGGGUUAAUUUUUUAAAUUUUGGGCUGGUAAUUGAGUUUUAAUUGGCCUAUUAGGUUUUUUAAGCCUGCUGUUUUAUCUUGUAAUUUGGACUUGAACAUUGGACUUAUUAAUAUUUUGGUUUUAUUA